GACAGAGGGUGCAAGCGUUGUUCGGAAUCUUUGGGCGUAAAGGGCGCGUAGGCGGUUUUGUAAGUCGAAUGUGAAAGCCCAGGGCUCAACCUUGGAAGUGCAUCCGAAACUGCGAAACUUGAAUCCUGGAGAGGGUGGUGGAAUUCCCAGUGUAGAGGUGAAAUUCGUAGAUAUUGGGAGGAACACCGGUGGCGAAGGCGACCACCUGGACAGAGAUUGACGCUGAGGCGCGAGAGCGUGGGGAGCAAACAGG
rnacentral:rRNA from 1 species